ensembl:snRNA U6 U6 spliceosomal RNA
GUGUUUGCUUUGGCAGCACAUAUACUAAAAUUGGAAUGAUACAGAGAAGAUUAGCGGGGCCCCUGUGCGAGGAUAACACACAAAUUCAUGAAGUAUUCCAUUUUUCU